rnacentral:rRNA from 1 species
CACGUAGGGUGCAAGCGUUGUCCGGAAUCAUUGGGCGUAAAGAGCUCGUAGGCGGCUUAGUAAGUCGGGUGUGAAAACCCCAGGCUCAACCUGGGGACGCCACCCGAUACUGCUAUAGCUAGAGUCCAGUAGGGGAGCGUGGAAUUCCCAGUGUAGCGGUGAAAUGCGCAGAUAUUGGGAGGAACACCAGCGGCGAAGGCGGCACUCUGGGCUGGUACUGACGCUGAGGAGCGAAAGCGUGGGUAGCGAACAGG